rnacentral:tmRNA from 1 species
GGGGGCGUUUUGGCUUCGACGGGGGUAAGAGGAGUUUGAUAAGCGAGUCGAGGCAGCAUGUCACCUCGUUAAUCAAGUAUGCAAAAAGAUAAACGCAGAAGACAAUUUUGCAAUAGCAGCCUAAUUUAGCGCUGUUCAUCAGCCCGGGGUGCCCACGCUUCGGAUCACUGGUGUCAUUAAAGUGGGAAACGAAGUUUAGCAAAGCUUUGAGCUAGAGGGGUAUUUAUGAAGCUAGCAAGUAUGUUGCCUGUCUGUAGGCGUUCAUAUGAGCGAAUUUUAAUAUAUAGACUACACUCGUAGAAAGUCAGAUGCAUCUACUUUCGGACAGGGGUUCGAUUUGUAACAAAGUCGCAUUAGGGAGUGAUCCUUAAGUGAAAACUUGGCUUUAUCGGUGAAACCGUAGCAAAUAAUGUUGCCGGCAAUACCGAGAGGUAUGUAAGGAAACUUAACAGCCUCGUAUCGACUUAUAGGUUCCUAAGGAUAUUAUUUAUUAAUGUUACGGAAUACUAGGAUAGAAGAUUAAAACUAUACUAUGCUUCUAUAAUACGCCAAGAGUCUUGUAGAGAUUGUCCACAAGAUUAAGAUAUAGUCAGCACCAUUAGAGAUAAUGGACGCCGGUGACCCCUCGCCUCCACCA